rnacentral:rRNA from 1 species
GUGGGGAAUAUUGGACAAUGGGCGAAAGCCUGAUCCAGCCAUGCCGCGUGUGUGAAGAAGGUCUUCGGAUUGUAAAGCACUUUAAGUUGGGAGGAAGGGCAGUAAGUUAAUACCUUGCUGUUUUGACGUUACCGACAGAAUAAGCACCGGCUAACUUCGUGCCAGCAGCCGCGGUAAUACGAAGGGGGCGAGCGUUAUUCGGAAUCACUGGGCGUAAAGCGUGCGUAGGCGGUCUCGUAAGUUAGGAGUGAAAGCCCAGGGCUCAACCUUGGAAUUGCUCUUAAUACUGCAAGGCUAGAAUCUCGGAGAGGAUAGCGGAAUUUCCAGUGUAGCAGUGAAAUGCGUAGAUAUUGGAAGGAACACCAGUGGCGUAAGCGGCUAUCUGGACGAGUAUUGACGCUGAGGCACGAAAGCGUGGGGAUCAAACAGGAUUAGAAACCCGAGUAGUCC